CCGGCCCCGGCGCGCCAGUGUCCGCCCGGCCCCGCGCCCCGCAGCGCCCGCACCCGGCCCCGCCGCCGCCUCAGAACAAGAAAGUUUUCUGCUCAGCCAUGGCUAUGAGUCCAUGCCUUAAUGCACCCCACAGCCAGCGGCAGUGGCAGUGGCAGUGGCAGUGACAACAGCGGGACCUGCCUUUGAAGACUGGCUGCUGCAAGGGUUGAUGGCUGGCAUGUCGCAAAGACCACCCAGCAUGUACUGGUGUGUGGGGCCGGAGGAGUCAGCUGUGUGUCCAGAACGCGCCAUGGAGAUGCUUAACGGUGCCGGGGACAUGGGCAGCAAACCGUCCACGCCGGGCGGUGCCCCCACAGCGCAGCCCCACGGCACGGAAGGCAUUCGCGCCGCGUACAGGCGGGGAGACCGCGGCGGCGCCCGGGACCUGCUCAAGGAGGCCUGCGACCGGUGCGCGUCCCAGCGGGAAAAGGUAGGGGAGUGCCUGCCCCUGCGGCCACCAGUGCAGUCCCGGGCUGGACGAAGGUGGCCGCUCGGAUGACUUUCUCGUUAUUGUCGUAACUGUAAUGAGCAUUUUUAUUGCGUUCUGGAAAUGCCUCAUUUUGCAUAUAAACUUGUGGGCGCCUUUCCUUUCCAACUGACUUCUCAGUCUG
rnacentral:sRNA from 1 species